UGAGCAAUCUGCCCUUCUCAUCGGAAUAAGCGUUGGAAACGACGUCUAAUGCCGAAUACGACCUCCUUUCGCAUGAUCGGAGGUGGAAAGCUCCGGCGGAGAAGGAUGAGCUCGCGGCCUAUCAGCUUGUUGGUGAGGUAACGGCUCACCAAGGCAACGAUGCGUAGCCGACCUGAGAGGGUNAUCGGCCACAUUGGAACUGAGACACGGUCCAGAUCCGUAACGGG
rnacentral:rRNA from 1 species